rnacentral:misc_RNA from 1 species
GAUGAAGAACGUAGCGAAAUGCGAUAAGUAGUGUGAAUUGCAGAAUUCAGUGAAUCAUCGAAUCUUUGAACGCACAUUGCGCCCCUUGGUAUUCCAUGGGGCAUGCCUGUUCGAGCGUCAUUUGUACCUUCAAGCUCUGCUUGGUGUUGGGUGUUUGUCCCGCCUUUGUGCGCGGACUCGCCUUAAAGCAAUUGGCAGCCGGCGUAUAGAUUUCGGAGCGCAGCACAAUCCGCGCUUUGUACUCAUUACGACGACAUCCAUCAAGACAUUUUUUAACUCUUGACCUCGGAUCAGGUAGGGAUACCCGCUGAACUUAAGCAUAUCAAUAAGCGGAGGA